UUAGACCUGUUUUCUCUUUAUGAUAUUCUUCUGCACUGGGUGAAACUGGAAAUGGGUUACAAGGAACCCCUGAUAUGGUCAAACAGCCAGUUUAUUAUACACUGGUAAUGUGGACUUGGGCAUGGCUAGGGUGCUGCCCAACACUCCGAGGGCCAGAAGGAAGGCAAGAGGGAGGAGUCUUGGCUGUUGGUCCGGUAUAGCAAGCAGAGGGCUAAGGAAUGUAUACAUCUCAAAAGCCAGGAUCCUACAGGACACUCUGAAAAUGGAAUUUAUAUCCUAACCCAGGGAGUCACUGCUGUGUCUGUGGAUAAAGUCACCAUGCCAUCACGAACGUGGGAUGAUUCUUUGGGAAGAUGAAUGGCAAAAGCUUCUUCUGGCAGAGAGAUCUGCAUGUGGAAUUCCCCUUGAAACGCGAGGGACUAUUGCCACGAUCGCGGCUCCAGCCAUAUGAGGCUGGUUUAUAAACAAAAAUCCGGGAAAGCUUUGGCUUAAUUUAAAACAGGAAGCAGCGACCCAGAGGGGAAGGCUGGACAGUCUCGGAGGGUGAGCCUUUCUUGCAGUUGGGGAAGGCAGACAGAGGUCUUGGUUAAUCCGAGGUCUUCUGUGAACCGAGUUUGAGAAAAACAAAUCACAGAAAUUUUACCAGGAAACUUGGUUGAACAGGGAUUUUAUUGCACAUCUGGAAGAUGUUUUCAGGUAUUCAGAGCCUUUAGAAUGAAAGUUGGUGAGCCUGCAAUGAGGGCGUGUGUUUUUAUGGGCAGAAACUCCAUUACUACACGCUGAAGACAUAAGGGUGUUUGUAUUCUUCUGUGUUCCCUUGAUGAUGCUAAAUGGAUUUGUUACCCUCCUCUUCUUUUCAAAUUCAUUGGCUAAAAAAGCAUAGACCUAAGUAGAAUUCUCUAAGUGGGUUUAACCAUCGAAAUGGUGGCUCAAUGAAGCAUUGAUUCUGAAACGUCUUAAUGGGAUCCUUGAUGAUUUAGGUCACCUAACCACUUUAGGUGACAGAACCUUUGGACAAAGUCCAUUAUUCUCACUUCAUAUUCUACUAAUAAUACAUCAUGUCGAGAUGAUGCAAAACCACCCAUUUGUCCCCAAACCAAGAAUGCCCUUCUUCAAUGCUUCCAUUCCACGUAGGUCUACUGUGUUUUAUUUCCAUCACGCUAUCCCAGGCGGAAGGACAUGCCCAGGAUGUAAAAUCAUUAGUGGAACAUAACCUAACAACGCCCUUUUAGAAUGAUCAUGUUUAUCUUAAACACAACAUUGGAUUAAGCGUUUAUAUUAUCGUUAAAACCUCGAAAUAAAGAACAAUAAACCAAAGAGAUUCCAACGCCUUCAAAGUAACUCUGAAGAGGAAACCUGUCUCAUGUCUUGCCUGGGAUCUCAGAGGGCUGUGUUCUGCCAAAUGUGUAAUUUGGGCAGAUAAAAAUAAGUUGAACGGGUUUCAGACAUCUGUUGUCAGACUUUGGCAGUGGAUAAAUAAAAGCAACACGGCAGACGGUCAAGUCCUUCUCAGCACUGGUUGUGACAGAGAAAUUCUGAAAUCCUUUGCAAUUGGCUUUCAAAGAGGUCACCCAAUAAGGUCUUUUUUGGGGAAGAGUUGACAUGGAAAGAGCAGAAAAGUCCAGUCAUAGAAUGGGAUGAUUUUUAACAAAGUGAGCAUUUUUAUUAUAAACUUUACAAAGUACCACCCAAAGCUAACACGUUCCUUCAACCGUUGUAUUGAGUUAGGAGCCCAAGAACUUGUCUGAAUCCCUUAGACUUUGUCUCUUGGUGGUGGCAAGGAUGACGUGAUAAGAUUCCAAAUAGGAGAACCGGACUUGAUUUCAGAAGACGUGAGCCAAAAAAUCCUUCCCAGACUCUUCACUCUGAGCUGGUUCAACGAGCAUUUCUGAGAAGGGGCUAUUUUCAUUUUCCUGGAUAAUCAAUUACGGGAAGCAGAUGUUGCAUAUGUCAAUCUAUCCAAAAGGCCCAGGUGUCGGAGAGUGACUUGGUUUCCCCACUGGUGUCUUGAGAGGAAGCACUGCCCUUUUGUGAAAAAUACACAAGUCUGCACUGACUUUCACUGAUCGUCUGUAAAGAUGGAUGCUGGUUCCCUUUCUUGGCUCUCUAGAACUCCUUGCGGGGGGGAAAAGCUGGGCACACCAGCCUGCCAGCAUCUCCUCCACCCCAAGGUUGUCUGGAUUGCAGCCAGGAGUCACCGUGGGUGCCGGACCCAUGGUCACAGCCACAAUGGCCACAGUGAACCACAAGCGAGAGUCCCCAAGGGGGCCAAGAAAUGUUCUCCCAUGCACACUUGUGGCUAAGUACCACCAGGGCAGCAGAUAGAUAGCGUGAGGACCAGAAAAGUGUGGGCAGAGACCCUGACACAGAGACCUGGCACAGAUUCCAUCUCUCUGAGUUACCUCUUUGCACCUAGCCAUGAUGGGGGUUUAUCUUCAUUGAGAGUCUCCUGUGCAUUCGAGGUGACAUGGGUUCUGUUAAUCUUCUGAUCUAGCUUGGCUUUUAAAAACUGUAUCUUUAAAGCACUUUUCUUCCCAGAAUAUUUUCUUGUGCAAAGUUCAAUGUACCAACUGGCUGGGAAGAUGACAACACAGCUUCAAAUGCAUCCCGAUGAUGGCCAGAUCAAUGGAGAGGUCUGCUCUCCCUCCCACCUCAAGUCUUUAAGGGAGUUAGAAAGCAAGAGCUUAGCACAAAUAAACUUCUGCUCUCAUCACUUCCUUUGCCUGAUCUUUUCAAGUCAAGAGGUUUAUGAUUACUGUCAUUAUGACUAUUGUCAUUAUUAUUUCAUCCCCCAGUUAACUACAGUAAUAGCCUUAAAAACACAGCUCUUGGCAAGCCUCUGAGUCUCUUGACCAGAUCUAUGGCGGUGAUGAGAAUAGGGAAUUUUUGCUGAUCUAGGCACGUAUCUGCCUCGGGUCCUAAAGCCAUGAUGCCCAGAUCCCACAGGACUGACUCACAGACCCAGGUUGUGCAACCUUGCAUCUCAACUGUGCUUUAACUCGGCCUUAGACAAAUGUUCUUUGAAGUUUGUUUAUGAAAAAAAGGACAUCGAGAAGUUGGACAGAACCCGGUGGAGCACAAACAAGCUUUUUCUUCUUUGUCGCCGAAAGCCUGUUUCUUGCAUGUUGUCCCGUAACUGAAGUUGAAAGCAACGUUAUCAACAUUUCUGAUAAAAAGCCUUUUCAUCGUGCUUCAGGCUGAGGUCUGCAUUUCCUGUGGAUUUGAUGCCUGGGAUGCUAUGUUCUUUGUCUCUGUUACUCUGAUAACCUUGAAGUAGGUUCCCACUCAGUGUGCCAAAAAAGCAAGCAAAUUGUUUAAAGACCUUUUGGUAACUAUUUGGACGAUGCUUGGAACUUUGUAUACUGAUGUCUGUCUAUUCUUCUUUCAAUGGGUUGUGUAUUUGUAAUACCUAAGAAUAGUAAAUUAUCAUACACUUUUGCUAUCUAUGCUUUGAGUAACUUACGAAGACGACUGUCUGUGAUCCUCCUAGUUUCUUUUGGGCCAUGCUUUCUUCACCAUUAAUUAGAACCCAAGCUGCCAGAAAACGCCUGUGUUGCUACAUAAAAAUGGCCGUGUCCUCACUAAAGCAUGGUAUUUCGUGUUUCGUAGGAGCCUUCCCUCCCUUGUCAGAUGCAAGGAGAUGGGGGCCCCUCACACUUUCUCCUCCGCUGCCUCCCCCAGGCCACUGCAUUCUUAUCUCCUCUCUCUCUUUACUCACCUGUGAAGAUCAGCUCUUCAAAGCACUUUUAACUUGAAAGAAGUAGAGUUGGGGUUUUUCCCAAUGCUGCCUAACGUUCAGAAGGAAAGAAAUUCUUAAAUGCAAACUCACCAGCAAUCUCUUUCUCUGUUUCUUUACAACUUUUUGACGGACACAAAGAUUGUUUUUUUUGGAUGCAACCAUUUUUAACUGAAAGUAUGGAAGAGUUGUUGAAAGAAUGUGUGUUACUCUUUUCUCUGUAAUUCUGAUUUAGCAAAAUUUCUGUAGCAAGUUGGGAUUAACAAUCUUCUAGUUUUAACGGAGGUUGUUGAGGAGGGAUGCGACCUGAAAGCUGAGGAUUACAGUAAUUGCGUGAACUCUGUUUUUUGGAUGAAGGAAAAGAAAUGAGGUGAGUAAAUUUGGUAAUACCUGAAAUGGAAACAGAGUUAAUUAGUGUUGAAUAAAAUGUUGGCGCUAAGAGCGUGAAUGCUGAACUCAACACUUGCGACUGGUCUUUUUGAGCGUUUCAGUAAUUGCAUGACUUUAAAAUAGUCAUUAUAAAGAUAUAUGAGAUCUACCUGUUUCCAUCACUAAUUCUUAUGAAUCUUUUGGAAAAACAUGAGCUUCUCUGAACCUCAGUUUCCAAUUACGACAAACAAAGGGAUGGACCAUAUCUAAGACAAUUUCAUGUGUUAAGCUUGUGUCAUUUUAUUGUAUCUGAAGAGAGAGAAUUUCAAUUCAAAUGAUUUAAUUGAGCAUGCCACCAUAGUAACUAGCUUUUUAAAACUUCAUGCUAAUCUUCACCUUUCAAAAAUUUUUUUUCUUGUGACCUAAUAACUACAAUCAUAACACACCUGAAAUAAAAGUGUUGAAUGAGAGGUUUCAAAUAAAAAAUUAAUUUCCA
rnacentral:lncRNA from 1 species